rnacentral:rRNA from 1 species
UACGUAGGGGUCGAGCGUUGUCCGGAGUUACUGGGCGUAAAGCGCAUGCAGGCGGCUCAUUACGCAUGGCGUGAAAGCCCCCGGCUCAACCGGGGAGGGUCGUCGUGAACGGGUGAGCUUGAGGGUAUCAGGGGCUGGUGGAAUUCCCGGUGUAGUGGUGAAAUGCGUAGAGAUCGGGAGGAACACCUGUGGCGAAGGCGGCCAGCUGGGAUACACCUGACGCUGAGAUG